rnacentral:lncRNA from 15 species
UGGGUGUUGUAGGAGUGAACUGCUGCAGGACUACAAUGGUGGAGUGGAGAGGAGACUCCUGAUGACAGUGAUCCAUUUCCAGAGCUGGGUUUUGCUCUCAAUCUGGACGGGUUCUCAGGACCUUUAUUAAAUGUGAUGGACUAUGUGCUGUAAUCUCAUCUGUUGCACCUGGCACCUCCCAAACCAUUGUGUAUAAUGGAAUGGAAGGCCGUUAUGAAAGCAUUGUGAUCCCAAAAAGACGUGAAUACUUGACACUGUGUGAGGUGGAAGUCACCGGUCGCCCUUCAGAUCAGAUUUGGCCACCUUCCGAAGUUUUCUGAUGACUCAGCAAUAGUUGGCUGCAUUGAAAAGGGUGAUGAGAAUGAGUACAGGACUGUUGUGGGCAACUUUGUCACCUGGAGGGAGCUGAACCAUCUGCAGCUCAAUGUGACAAAGACAAAAGGAGCUCAUAGUGGAUCUGAGGAGGGUGAAAACACCAGUGACCCCUGUUUCCAUCCAGGGGGUCCCUGUGGACACUGUAGAGGAGUAUAAGUACCUGGGGGUGUACUUUAAUAAUAAGUUGGACUGGACUAGAAACGCUGAGGCGGUCUACAAAAAGGGCCAAAGCCGACUCUUUUUUCCUAAGGAGGUUGAGGUCCUUUAACAUCUGCCAGACGAUGCUGAGGAUGUUUUAUGAGUCUGUUGUGGCCAGUGCCAUCUUCUUCGCUGUCACAUGCUGGGGCAGUGGGCUGAAGGUCGCAGAUACCAACAGACUAAAUAAACUGAUCAGGAGGGCUGGUGGUGUCCUGGGGGAGGAGCUGGACAGUCUGACGACCGUGGCAGAGAAGAGGAUGCUGUCCAGGCUUCAGUCCAUCUUGGACAAUGUCUCACACCCUCUCUACGACACACUGGCACAGCAGAGGAGCACCUUCAGCAGAAGACUCCUCUCACCCAGAUGCACCACAGAGCGCCACAGGAAAUUAUUCCUGCCUGUGGUCAUUAAACUUUACAACGCCUCCCUCAGAGAGUCAGACACCCCCUCUCCCCUAUACGAAUAUUGCUAGAGGUGGACAAGUAACUAAUUACUCACCAUUGAUGGAAAUUGUGCCAGCAACUGGGGACAGGGAUCCUGUACCCACACACAGCAAGAUAAAAAAAAAACAUGGUGGAGACUGGACCUCCUGAAGACAUAAAAUGAACACUGUCACCAUCACGGACAACAGCCGUCAAUAGUAUGAAGCCACCAUGUUUUUUAUCUGUGAGUUCCCAAAGAGCAGGAGAAAACUACACCUAUAGUGUUGUAUAGAAUUGGCAAUUUAUGUAUUAAAUGUGUGUAAUAAAAAAUAACUGAAAUGAAAAAGAAUUUGUCCCUGCAU